rnacentral:rRNA from 1 species
CCUAGUUGAUCCUACUAAUAGUCAUAUGCUUGUCUCAAAGAUUAAGCCAUGGAUAUGUAAGUAUAAACUAAUUUAGAUUAUGAAACUGUGAAUGGCUCAUUAAAUCAGUUAAGUGUGUUUGAUGGUAUUUACUACUCUGAUAAUUGUAGUAAUUCUAUAGCUAAUACGAGCAACACACCCUAACUUUUGGAAGGGAUGCAUUUAUUAGAUAAAAGGUUAAUGUGGGCUUUGCCCAUUGCUCUGAUGAUUCAUGAUAACUUGAUGGAUAACAUGGCUUUUGUGCCGGUGAUGCAUCAUUCAAAUUUCUACCCUAACAACUUUUAAUGGUAAGAUAAUGGCCUACUAUGGUGGUGAUAGGUGACAGAGAAUUAGGGUUUAAUUCUAGAGAAGGAGUAUGAGAAAUGGCUACCACAUCUAAGGAAAGUGGCAGGCACGUAAAUUACCCAAUCUUGACAUGAGAAGGUAGUGACAAUAAAUAACAAUAUUAGGCUCAUAAGUCUAGUAAUUGGAAUGAGUACAAUCUAAAUCCUUUAAUGAGGAUCCAUUAGAGGGCAAGUCGAGUGUAGCAACGAUGGUAAUUCUAGCUUCAAUAGCAUAUAAUUAAGUUAUUACAGUUAAAAAACCUAUAGUUGGAUCUAGGGUUAGGUCAUCCGAUCUGCCUUUUGGUGAGCAUUGGUCUACUUAUCCCUAUUGUCGGUGAUGCACUCCUGGCCUUAACUAGCUAGGUCAUUCUACUGAAGCUGUUACUUUGAAGAAAUUAGAGUGCUAAAAGUAAGCGUACGCUUGUUUACAUUAGCAUGGGAUAGCACCAUAGGAUUUUAAUCCUAUUAUGUUGGCCUUUGGGAUCAGAGUAAUGAUUAACACGGAUAGUUGGGGGCAUUCAUAUUUCAUAGUCUGAGGUGAAAUGCUUGGAUUUAUGAAAGAUAAACAACUAUGAAAGCAUUUGCUAAGGAUGUUUUCAUAAUCAAGAACGAAAGUUAAGGGCUAAAAAAUGAUUAGAUACUGUCCUAGUCUUAACUAUAAAUUAUACUGACCAAGGAUCAAUGGAUGUUACUUUUAGGACUCCAUCGGCACCUUAUGAGAAAUCAAAGUCUUUGGGUUCCAAGAGGAGUAUGGUUACAAGGCUAAAACUUAAAAGAAUUGAUGGAAGGGCAACACUAAGAGUGGAGCCUAUGACUUAAUUUGACUUAAUAUAGAGAAACUUACUAGGUCCAGAUAUAAUAAGGAUUAAUAGACUAAGAGCUCUCUCUUAAUUCUAUGAGUGGUGGUGCAUGGCCGUUCUUAGUUGGUGGAGCAAUUUGUCUAGUUCAUUUUGUUAAUGAAUGAGACCUCAACCUACUAACUAGCUACAUAGGGAUGAUCUUUCAUGGCUAGCUUUCCAAAGGGACUAUGGUUGCUUAAGCCAAGAAAGUUUGAGACAAUAAUAGGUCUAUGAUGCCUUUCAAUGUUCUAAGCCACACGUGCAUAACAUUGAUGUAUUCAACGAGUUUAUAGCCUUGGCUGAUAGGAUCAGGAAAUCUUUGAAAUUUCAUCAUGAUGGGGAUAGAUCAUUGCAAUUGUUGAUCUUCAACAAGGAAUUCCU